GGUUGUGAGGGCGAUCUGGCUGCGACAUCUGUCACCCCAUUGAUCGCCAUGGUUGAUUAGGCUGAUCUGGCUGGCUAGGUGGGUGUCCCCUUCCUCCCUCACCGCUCCAUGUGCGUCCCUCCUGAAGCUUCGUGCUCGGUGGAAGAGGACGACAUCCCAGGUAUAGAAGGAGUGUACCGAAGUCUCCAGUCUUUGGUCCCGGGUAUACGAUAGCUGCGCUCCCCUGCUAGAACCUCCAAACAAGCUCAAGUUUCCUGUUCCUGGCGGCCAAGCCGAGCUGUGACUUCCGAGUAGACCCUC
rnacentral:snRNA from 1 species